GGUAUUUUGACCGUGCAAAGGUAGCAUAAUCAUUAGUUUUUUAAUUGAAAGCUGGAAUGAAAGGUUGGAUGAAAAAUGAGCUGUCUCUAUUUAAUUUUAUUAGAACUUUAUUUUUAAGUAAAAAAGCUUAAAUUUUGAUAGAAGACGAGAAGACCCUAUAGAGUUUUAUUUAUUUUUUAAAUAAGAUUAAUAGUAUUAAUUAUUUUUAUUUAAAAAAUGAAUUUAGUUGGGGUGAUUGAAAAAUUUAAUAAACUUUUUUUAUAUAUAUACAUUAAUAUAUGAUUAAUUGAUCCUUAAUUUAAGAUUAAAAGAUAAAAUUACCUUAGGGAUAACAGCGUAAUUUUUUUUGAGAGUUCUAAUCGAAAGAAAAGAUUGCGACCUCGAUGUUGGAUUAAAAUAAAAUUUUGGUGUAGAAGCUAAAA
rnacentral:rRNA from 1 species